rnacentral:rRNA from 1 species
AUUGAACGCUGGCGGCAGGCUUAACACAUGCAAGUCGAGCGGAAACGAUGAUAGCUUGCUAUCAGGCGUCGAGCGGCGGACGGGUGAGUAAUACUUAGGAAUCUACCUAGUAGUGGGGGAUAGCACGGGGAAACUCGUAUUAAUACCGCAUACGACCUACGGGAGAAAGGGGGCAGUUUACUGCUCUCGCUAUUAGAUGAGCCUAAGUCGGAUUAGCUAGAUGGUGGGGUAAAGGCCUACCAUGGCGACGAUCUGUAGCUGGUCUGAGAGGAUGAUCAGCCACACCGGGACUGAGACACGGCCCGGACUCCUACGGGAGGCAGCAGUGGGGAAUAUUGGACAAUGGGGGAAACCCUGAUCCAGCCAUGCCGCGUGUGUGAAGAAGGCCUUUUGGUUGUAAAGCACUUUAAGCAGUGAAGAAGACUCCGUGGUUAAUACCCACGGACGAUGACAUUAGCUGCAGAAUAAGCACCGGCUAACUCUGUGCCAGCAGCCGCGGUAAUACAGAGGGUGCAAGCGUUAAUCGGAAUUACUGGGCGUAAAGGGAGCGUAGGUGGCUCGAUAAGUCAGAUGUGAAAUCCCCGGGCUCAACCUGGGAACUGCAUCUGAUACUGUUGAGCUAGAGUAUGUGAGAGGAAGGUAGAAUUCCAGGUGUAGCGGUGAAAUGCGUAGAGAUCUGGAGGAAUACCGAUGGCGAAGGCAGCCUUCUGGCAUAAUACUGACACUGAGGCUCGAAAGCGUGGGUAGCAAACAGGAUUAGAUACCCUGGUAGUCCACGCCGUAAACGAUGUCUACUAGUCGUUGGGUCCCUUGAGGACUUAGUGACGCAGCUAACGCAAUAAGUAGACCGCCUGGGGAGUACGGCCGCAAGGUUAAAACUCAAAUGAAUUGACGGGGGCCCGCACAAGCGGUGGAGCAUGUGGUUUAAUUCGAUGCAACGCGAAGAACCUUACCUGGUCUUGACAUAUCUAGAAUCCUGCAGAGAUGCGGGAGUGCCUUCGGGAAUUAGAAUACAGGUGCUGCAUGGCUGUCGUCAGCUCGUGUCGUGAGAUGUUGGGUUAAGUCCCGCAACGAGCGCAACCCUUGUCCUUAGUUACCAGCGGGUUAAGCCGGGAACUCUAAGGAUACUGCCAGUGACAAACUGGAGGAAGGCGGGGACGACGUCAAGUCAUCAUGGCCCUUACGACCAGGGCUACACACGUGCUACAAUGGUAGGUACAGAGGGCAGCUACACAGCGAUGUGAUGCGAAUCUCAAAAAGCCUAUCGUAGUCCAGAUUGGAGUCUGCAACUCGACUCCAUGAAGUAGGAAUCGCUAGUAAUCGCGGAUCAGAAUGCCGCGGUGAAUACGUUCCCGGGCCUUGUACACACCGCCCGUCACACCAUGGGAGUUGAUUGCACCAGAAGUGGAUAGCUUAACCUUCGGGGAGGCGUUCACCACGGUGUGGUUGAUGACUGGGGUG